AUUGAACGCUGGCGGCGUGCUUUACACAUGCAAGUCGGACGAGUGGCGAACGGGCGAGUAACGCAUCGGAACGUACCGAGGAAUGGGGGAUAACUGUCCGAAAGGACAGCUAAUAUCGCAUAUUAUUCGAGCGCCCUUUGUCUUAUUAGCUGGUUGGCGGGGUAAAGGCCCAACAAGGCAACGAUCAGUAGCGGGUCUGAGAGGAUGAUCGGCCACACUGGGACUGAGACACGGCCCAGACUCCUACGUGAGGCAGCAGUGGGGAAUUUUUGAAAAUGGGCGCAAGCCUGAUCCAGCCAUGCCGCGUGUGUGAAGAAGGCCUUCGGGUUGUAAAGGACUUUUGUCAGGGAAGCGGGAGCUGAAGAAUAAGCACCGGCUAACUACGUGCCAGCAGAAGCGGUAAUAG
rnacentral:rRNA from 1 species